rnacentral:rRNA from 1 species
CGUAGGUGGCAAGCGUUGUCCGGAUUUAUUGGGUUUAAAGGGUGCGUAGGUGGUUUGCUAAGUCAGUGGUGAAAGCUGGUUGCUCAACAAUCAAGUUGCCAUUGAUACUGUCAGACUUGAGAGAAGUGGAGGCUCAUGGAAUGGAUGGUGUAGCGGUGAAAUGCAUAGAUAUCAUCCAGAACGUCGAUUGCGAAGGCAGUGGGCUGUACUUUUUCUGACACUGAGGCACGAAAGCGUGGGGAUCAAACAGGAUU